UGCUAUUUACCACUUUUUAUAACCAUGAGAGUCAAAAGCCUUUAUUGUCUUAAGUUUAUUUGGUAUCCAAACAUCACAACUGCAGCAUUGUAAUCUUGGAUCAGAGAUGAAGAUCCAAGAUGGAUGAUGACAUAGAGGGACACUAUAAACACCCAGACCACUUCAUCUCAGUAAAGUGGCCUGGGUGCAGUGACCCUGUCAUCUUAGCCUUUUAGUUUAGAGAAAUUGCAAUAUUUACAUUGCAGGGUUAUGACUCUCAGACAGACAUCUGGACAGUCACUAGAGGUGCUUCCUGCAUUUUCAAAGGGUUUAACUCUGUGAAAUGAUGCUUUUGCAUUAGGACGUCUAGCAUCUUGCAAAAUACCCAUAGGAAAGUUUUGAUCUAACCUGAUUGCACAGCCUUCCUAAAUACUUUGGAUGCCGCUUCAGAAGCAGGACUUAGAUUUAAGGACACAAUUUUUGAAUUUUUUUGCUGUUUGUAUUCAACCGCAAUUUGCAUUGGUUUUUUUUCAACAGUUUUUUUUAAAGGAGAAAAUG